GUGUGUGCGGGUCUUGGGGGCUUUUCCCCGAGGAGGGAGAAGGGCGGUCCUCCCUCCUCGGGGAAAAGCCCCCAAGAGCCGCACACAC
rnacentral:miRNA from 1 species